AUUGAACGCUGGCGGCAGGCCUAACACAUGCAAGUCGAACGAGUGGCGGACGGGUGAGUAAUGUCUGGGAAACUGCCCGAUGGAGGGGGAUAACUACUGGAAACGGUAGCUAAUACCGCAUACCAUCGGAUGUGCCCAGAUGGGAUUAGCUAGUAGGUGGGGUAACGGCUCACCUAGGCGACGAUCCCUAGCUGGUCUGCGAGGAUGACCAGCCAACCUGGAACUGAAGCACGGUCCUGACUCCUACGAGAGGCAGCAGUGGUGAAUAUUGCACGAUGGGCGCAAGCCUGAUACAGCCAGGCCGCGUGUAUGAAGAAGGCCUUCGGGUUGUAAAGUACUUUCAGCGAGGAGGCGUUACUCGAAGAAGAAGCACCGGCUAACUCCGUGCCAGCAGCCGCGGUAAUUC
rnacentral:rRNA from 1 species